UGAGGUGUGACUGGUGCUUGGUCGUUCUGUUGGAACUCAUUGACUGUAAGACACAGUUUCUCUGGCCCCAGGACUCUACUCUCUGCACAGUAGGGGUGUCGGUAACCCAGCAGCUAGACAAGGAAUCAUGAGCAGGCACUGGGGAGCUCUGCUGGGGCUCCUGUGGGUCCAAGUUUGCUGGGUGAGAGGGCUGGAUGUGGAGCAGAGCCCUUCAGCCCUGAGCCCCCAGGAGGGAGCCGGCGCUGCUCUGAAGUGCAAUUUUUCUAGCUCAGUGAACAGUGUGCAGUGGUUCCGACAGAACCUCAGGGGUGGUGGCCUCACCUCCCUGUUUUUCAUAGCUUCAGGCAUGAAGCAGAGCGGAAGGCUCAACUGCACAGUGAACAUGAGGGAACGGUCCAGCACCCUCCAUAUCGCGGCUUCCCAGCUGGAAGAUGCAGCCUCCUACCUGUGUGCCGCGGAGACACAGUGCUGCCUGCUGAUCCGGGGCCUGCACGCCACCUACAGCUGCGCCUGCGCCCCGGCCCCUCCCUGGGGCAUCUGCACCCACAACAGCCUUGGCACAUUUUCAGAUUUUCAGAUUGAUGUUACAGCACCUUUUCCCUCCAAAAUGAGACCCAUCAGGGCUGUCAUUUCACUUGCUUUUCUUGCCCUUAUUUUUCUCUACCAUGGACACUUUGGAGCAAGUGAUAGAGAUGGCCAUAUCUACUGCACUGGGAAAGCAGACCUCCUGGCAGCUAGCAUAUAAAUUAUAUGUAAGUUACUCAAAUGGAAAAGACUGGAAAAAAAUAGAUGAUCAUCAAGAAAAGAAAGACAUGACUAAAUUUUUUAGUUAUCUGUGGAUGGUUCUACUAUCAAAGGGUAGUAAUGAGAAUAUGUGUAACGUUUUUUCCAGUCUGUUUUCAUCUUUUUCCUCUUGGAAAUACAAAUAUAAUAAAAUAAUUUUAGGGGUGCCUGGGUGGCUCAGUCGUUAACCUUUUGUCUACGGCUCAGAUCAUGGUCUCAGCAUCCUG